CUGGCUAUAAAUAUGGCCAUAAUAUUGUUUAAUACAAUUCAUACCUGACUUCCACACCAAAGGAGCGAGAGUGUUCACGAAGGGUAAUCAUGAUCAUCAAAUUUGCAAAACCUACACUUGCUGCCGUCAUGGUGAUCCUUUUAGUAGGUACCGCAGUUGUUGAUGCCCAAGGGAAUGCUGAAGCCGAAUUUACUCUUCGAGGGAUCAAAACAAAUAAUCCUACUACGUUUGGUGACAAUAUUCCCCACUCUAGUGACAAGGAAAAACGAAAACAGCUAACCUCUGCCCGUGUACUAACAGCCCAAUUUGCAAAACAGAUAAUAUCUCGUGAAGACUACUGCAGGUCGGUUAAAUGUCCUUAGUGAAAAAUGGGAUAUACCUAUGGAUGUCCUGGAGUAACAGCAGCUUUCUUCAGGGCCAAUGUUAAGGCCAGUUAAUAGAAUAAAGCACCAGGACUUAAUCAUAAAUGUGAAAAUAUGUACACACUGAACCCUUCUAUGUCAAUGGAAGACUGGUCAUAUAUAAUAAAAUGAAAGUACGUUAACUCUUGUGUUA